GAUGAACGCUGGCGGCGUGCCUAAUACAUGCAAGUCGAGCGAACAGACGAGGAGCUUGCUCCUCUGACGUUAGCGGCGGACGGGUGAGUAACACGUGGAUAACCUACCUAUAAGACUGGGAUAACUUCGGGAAACCGGAGCUAAUACCGGAUAAUAUAUUGAACCGCAUGGUUCAAUAGUGAAAGACGGUUUUGCUGUCACUUAUAGAUGGAUCCGCGCCGCAUUAGCUAGUUGGUAAGGUAACGGCUUACCAAGGCAACGAUGCGUAGCCGACCUGAGAGAGUGAUCGGCCACACUGGAGCGGGGACAGGGUCCAUAGUACUACGGGAGGCAGCAGUAGGGAAUCUUCCGCAAUGGGCGAAAGCCUGACGGAGCAGGGCCGCGUGAGUGAUGAAGGUCUUCGGAUCGUAAAACUCGGUUAUGAGGGAAGAACAAAUGUGUAAGUAAAUAUGCACGGCUUGACGGUACCUGAUCAGAAAGCCACGGCUAACUACGUG
rnacentral:rRNA from 1 species